UCCAGUUGUUGUUCCAGCUCGCAUACCGUUCCCGUUGGCUCCUGGGAGUCAGAGGCUCCGCUCUGGCCCGCCCGUCAGUGCCGCCCCGAGUGUGUUCGCGCUAGGAGCGUUCUCUCGCGCUCUCGCCAAGGGUGACGAGUUGUUUCUCCAUCCGCACUGAUCCAGUUUUCAUGUCAGUACGAACAGGAGAAUGAUGUGUUAGUGUAGUUGUGUUGAUUUUUCAGAAGGUGCUACUGAUAAAUCCAAAACAAGGAAAAAAAAGAAAAAAAAGAAAGAAAGAAAGACAGAGGAUGAAAGAAAGCUUAUCUAAUCACUGGUGAAUGUGCUUUCCUUAAGUGAUGAUGAAUUAUGAGGAGGAUGUGAUUUCCUGUUGAUUUCCUCAUUUUCUCCUUACUGUAUUUGUGGGAUUGUGACUGAAGUGAAGUAGUAACUAUGCCUUCUGACUGAGAGAAGCAUAGAGAGAGAGAGAGAGAGCUGAAGAUGCUAUCAAAAGUGAGUGACAUGGUGGAUGCCAGAUCAAGAGGAGGAUAAAACAGCAGUGGAAUCAAGUUCUGUAGGGCUUGGUUGACAAGAUGCCAUCCUUGCUAGCUUGUUUCGUGUGUGGUGGGAAGGGGGAGAGUGACGAUGUGCGUGUACUCGAUUACCGUCACUCUGCUCUCCAUGAUGUGCCUGCGGAUGUGUUUGCCUCAGAACGCACAUUGGAGGAGCUGCUCUUGGAUUCAAAUCAGCUGACUGAGUUACCUCGUCAACUGUUCUACUGCCACGGCUUAAGGGAGCUUGGGUUGAGCGACAAUGAAUUGACUUCCCUUCCACCGGCUGUGGCAUCCCUCAUUAAUCUCACUUCCAUAGAUCUCAGCAAAAAUGCCAUAUCAGACAUCCCAGACAAUAUUAAAGGCUGCAAGCAACUUGCUGUGGUGGACGCCAGCAUCAACCCCCUUUGCCGCCUACCAGAGGGUUUCACACAGCUGCUUUCUCUUCAAGAACUUUAUCUGAAUGACACUUUCUUGGAAUAUCUCCCUGCUAACUUUGGCCGAUUGUCCAAGCUGAAGAUCCUGGAGUUAAGGGAAAACCAAUUGAAUACGUUGCCAAAGUCCAUUGCACGUCUCACUAACCUGCAGCGCUUGGACAUUGGGCAGAAUGACUUCUCUGAAUUGCCCGAGGUGAUUGGCAGCCUGGGUAAUUUGACUGAGCUCUUGUUUGACAAUAAUAAAGUGAAGUCGCUCCCACCCAUGAUGGGAAAAUUGAAGAAACUGCUUCAUGUUGAUGCAUCAAAAAAUAAGAUAGACUGGGUCUCAGGAGAGCUGGAAAACUGUGUUGUCCUUACAGAUCUUCAUCUCUCAUCCAAUAAUCUUAAGGAACUGCCCGAGAGCCUGGGAGGCUGCAGCCAAUUGCAACUUUUGCGGCUGGAUGACAAUGCUCUAACUCAUCUACCUGAGUCUCUAGGUGGUUUGGCAGCCCUAGAGGAGCUAGUUGUUACCCAGAAUGACCUGGAGACUUUGCCAGCUUCAAUUGGGCUUCUUCGUGCUCUGCAUACACUCCAUGUGGAUGAUAAUCUUCUUACAGAGUUGCCACCAGAAAUUGGUUCCUGCAUUCAGUUGACAGUGCUUACAGCUGCAUCAAAUAGACUGACGAGUGUUCCUGCUGAACUGGGUCACCUUCCAAAGUUGGCAGUUCUAAAUCUCUGUGAUAAUUUGAUUCCUCAUUUGCCUGUAUCACUUACUAAGCUGAAGCUAAGAGCUUUGUGGCUUUCGGAAAAUCAGAACAAGCCACAGGUUCAGCUGCAGUCAGACACACUGCCAGAGACAGGACAGCGUGUUUUGACAUGCUUUAUGCUCCCGCAACAAGUUCGCUCUCAUCAACCAGAGAUGGUGGUUGAGACGGACACCUUCCCAGGCCAAGGCUGGGAUGAGCAGAGGAGAGCAAAGACACUCAUUAAGUUUGCCUUUGACGGUGAUGUAGACAAACCUGGCCGCUUGACACGAGCCCCAACACCCUACCCCAAAGAACUCAAGGCACUGGCCAAGCAUGCUCGCAACUUGCACAGCUUACAGAAGGACCCCUCACGACAAUUUGUGCUUGGUCGAUCUGAGGAUGCUGGCAGGGCAUCAUCUCCCACCCAGCCUGCCAAGGAGGACAGUGAUGCAGCUUCGGGAAGGCGGGACUCAGAUAGUGCACUGAAGCAGCCACUGAUAGAGCGCACGGCAAAGUCUGGUGCUCCUUUAGACGAUUCUGGGGAUGCUGAGGACGCUAGUAUACCACUGACUGUUGUAGAGCCACAGGUGGAUGAACGGCCUCAGUUGCGGGAAGCUCGCAAUGUGCGCAAGAGUUCAAACCCUGAUGCCAGCUCUAGUGUGUCUAUUGCACCAAAGAGCUUGAAUUCGAAUGGUACAAGUUCCAGUGGGGCUGACCUGCCCUAUACUAUUGGGGAUAGGAAAUUGUUUGGCCAUGCUCAGGUUAUUGCCAUGAAGGCUCCUGGUGACACAAGUGCUGCAACCAAAAACACGACCAGUUCAGCAGAAGAAAACGGGACCCCACAGCACCCUGCUGUGUCAUCUGAGGGGUCUGGACCUGUGGAAGGAGAACAGGGAGGUGACACCCCUGACAAGCGCAUCAAAAAGCCUCCGCCCUACCAUAUUGCUGCCGUCAUGUCAAGGCACGCAGCGGACUUCCAAGAAGCGAGUGUUGAGGUGUCGUCAUCGCAGGGAACAAAUGCACAGGGAGGGGCUGGCUUGACUGUUAAGGAUCUGCCAGGCUCACAGCAGGCAUUAGCUGUUACAUCACCUACCACUGCCAUUGGGGAGGACGAAAACAAUGACACUAGUAGUUCCAGUGACAGUGGUUAUGGCAAUGGGAAAUCAUCAAGUCAACAAACUGCCGAAGAACAGCAGUGCAGUGACUCCUGUUCAAACUCACCAUCCUCACCGCAGAAUCUAACUGAUUCCAGCAUCACUAUGCCCUCCACACCCACCUCACCUUUAGGGAGUGCAGGAUCUGCUGCACCUUCCUCAAAAUCCUUUGUGGUUGCCACUUCCACGAGGCCUCCAAGUGCUCAUUUAUCACCCAUAACCACCACAGGAUCUCUUCCAUCAGACCGCCACUCAUACGCUGCGCCACAGAAUAGCUCCUCGCCACUUGUUCAAGCCUCUAUGGGACAGCAUAUAUAUUCCUCGGGCCAUUUGUCGUAUUCACAAAAAAUGCAGACCAGCACUACUAUGACUAAUGCUCGCCCGGCCUCCAUCGCAGCAGGGCAGCAGUUGGAGAACCAGAGCAGUGGCUCUGUCCAACGGCCUGGGUCUCUGGCUCUUGGCACGCUGGCAGACUCGGCACUCCUCAACCGGCUGCCUAGAGACCACCGACCAGGGUCUCUUGCAGCGCCCAUCAACACUGUUGGCAUCCCGCCUGCUCCAACAAGGGCUAUGUCUCACAUGGGAUUGAAUGUCUCUAGUCCAACAAGGGCACGUGAUCCCACCAUGUUCAGAAGCCAGGAUUUGUCACGAGCUGGACGUGGACUUUCAUUGGCAGAGGACCGUUUCAGUGGAUCAGCUAGUGCUCGUCAGGAGAGCAAUGGUCUCGUCUCCAUCAUUGACCAGGUAACAAGCAGUUUGCUGGAACAUGGCGAUAGUCCCCCACCCAAGACUCCUGUGACCCCUAGUGCUCCUUCUUCCACUUUUCCUACAACUUCACCCACAACAGCAACACCUUCAUCACAGUAUCCAGCUUCCAAGUUGGCAGGAACCCAAGUCACUGCUGAUAGGAUACCCUUAUCAGCCUCUGACAGUACAACCACUUCAGAGUCCUAUGUGACAAGUGAUACAAGUGGCAGAUCCUCCCUUUCCUAUCAUCGUGGUGCAGGUUCUUCCCUGACAAGUAGUGGUGGACUCACCAACUUCACUCAAGACCAGCCUCGGGGUGAGGUUUUGCAUCCAACUCCACACCGACCACAUGUUAUCUCUCCUUCGGGCUCCAGACAUGGAUUAGAUUCUCUGCAAGACUCCAGUGUGGGUACUCCAGAUAAGUUAGGGAGGCCCCAUGAAGCAAUGGGAGUCCCUCAGCAUAUUGAGACUGGCACUUCCCCUCCUAGAACUGCACCUAAACCACAGUCAAGAAUCCCAGCACUUAGUCCUGAGAGUUACCCGGGUAAGGUGAAUCAUAAAACAAGCUUCGACUCUCAUGCUAGUCACAGUCCUGCUCAGAUGACAGAAUCUCGCAUACCCAGUUUAGGCAGCGUUGGACGAUCUCCAAGUAACUUUACCAGUGAAAGAGCAAGUGAGAGUCAUACCUUGCCAGAGUCAAGAAUACCAACCCUUGGUGCCAUGGGAAGAAGUCCAAGCAGUCUUAAUAAUGAAAAUAAGGCAGAAAGUAGAAUUCCAACCCUAAAUAACAUGGGACAUAGUUCCUCCAACUUACUACCUGAUAAGCAGACACCAGGAGAAUCAAGAAUACCAACUCUUGGAAGUACUGGCCGAAGUCAAAGCAACCUUGGUCAUGAAACACCAACUACACCUGACUCUCGUAUUCCAACACUUGGUGCAGUGGGUAGAACAUCUAGUAACUUGACUCGUGAAUCAGUUGGGUUAAAAAAGCCUGCCAACUCACAUGAAGGAAUUACAAAACCUGCAACAAAUCUUCACACUCCACAGCAGCAAAGAACAGUUGGGAUGAAUGGAUCAGGCAUUCCAAGUUUAGGCUCGCAGGGGAGAAGCAAUAGCAGCAUAGGAUCAGGCAUCCCAAGCCCAAGCCCAGCUUCCACAGGGUUAAGAACCGGCAUCCCCAAACAUGAUGCAACCGAUGGGCUAACCAAGAAAUCACUGGGAUAUGGAGGAACAAGCCAGGUGUCCUCCACGUCUCGUCUCCAGUCUCCAAGUUAUUCAAGUGGUAUUCGGCCUCCUACUUAUUCAUCAGCUAGUCCUUUGCCCAGUCCGACACAGCACCCAUCAGGCAAUUUUGCUCAGUCCCCAAGUUAUUCAUCUGGCAUACGACCACCCUCAGUCAAUUCAGCGAUUAACACCCCAGGCAUCCCACUCCCUUCUUCAGGAUCUUCAAGCCACCUGACUAACCCUGGGUCACGAGGCUCUAUCACAUCAACAGGGUCUGGGACUCGCAUUCCAAUGGUUGCAGGAGGUUCUACAUCGAGACUCCCUGCUCCUAGUGCCAACAAGCACCGUGUGUCUCCAUCAGCACAAAAUGCAGAUAACAAGACAAACAAUUCAGCAUGGAUGUUUGGCCAGCACAAAAAUGCCCGUGUGGUAUGUCAGAAUUCCAGGAAGGUCUGGGUUCCUGAACGAAGAGUGUCCAAGUUUCACCUCAAAUGUUCCCGGUAGUGAUAGAGAAAAAUCCAGGCCUUGGCUUUACGAUUGGGCUGUCCGAUGCUGAUGCGGAAGAUAAGAGUAUAUAUGUGAUGAGUGUCGCAGGAGGGGGUGCAGCUUCUUCGGCCCUCAAGGUGGGGGACAAGCUGCUGCAGGUGGAUGGGGUUGACUUGCGACUAGCGGACCUGCACACAGCAACCUCCAUCCUCAACAAGACCUCCAACACAGUCAACCUGAUGGUCUCCCGACUCCAGUGAUCUUCGUCGUUGUCAAAUAUUUUUAUUUAUGUAGCAGAAUUUCAAUAACUAGCAAGUUGCAGCAGUUGAGAGAGAGUUCUAGGGGAUAGUAGUCUUUAUGGUGAACUUACUGUAUAUUUUGACAAUGUUUGAGAUUGUCAAAUAAAGAGUUAACACUUUAGCAAUCCUCUCUCAUUUUUUUCUAAUAUCUUCUUGUUUUCACUUGUGUUUUACUUCCUGCUACCAACCACAGAAUUCUCCUUUUGGGUUCAUUAAAUACAUUGAUGCAAAAAGACAGAACUAGAGGUGUUAGUGGAUGCAUUUAUUAUAAUAUACCUCAAUAGAAAAUCUGCAUAGAUGUGUCAUCAUCCAUUUAACAAGGCAUUGGUUUUGAUUGAAUAAGUCUUCUGUAACAAGAAGUAGAGUUUAGGAGAUACUUGUCUUUUGACUGAUUAAGAAGUGCCUUGUGACUACAAGUGCCCCAAGUAGUCACAAAUUAAACAGUACAAAGGAAAGUUGUGCAAAUUUCAUGUGUUAAAUCUGCAGAUGAAGUAUUAUAGUUCUACAAGCAUUGUGAAGCUCUAGCUAACAAAAAGAUGAACUACUUUUACAAUAUAUACCCAUGCUAAUUUUUCUUUUGUUAAUUAAAAAAUGUAAUGAUGCUAAUGUCACAGAUAACCUUAGCUGAAACCAUUUCAUCUUUUAUUGCUAAUGUACUUUAUAUUUGUUUGAUGUAUUAUAUUAUAUCAUAGCAUAUUUGAUGUAGUCAUCAAGCAUAGACUAAGACAAAUUCUGUUCACAGAAAUUAUUAGUUUUUUUUAUUUAAAUAGCCAAGUAAUGCUUCAGAGGUUCUUUCUGUCAGUAGAUCAUUUAAAAAUUGUUUUAAUUUUUCAUAUACAAAUUUUUAUUUAUUUUGCUGGCUAUUUAGGCCCUAACUGCAAUAACAGUGUAAUUGAAAAACUCUUUCAUUCUUGCCCAUUCAUGAUGACAUAACUUUGUAGCUACUACAUAUUAAUUGUUGUUUAAUGUCUGUCUUGCACUCUUUCUGUAUGUGGAAGGAAGUUUAACAUAAAUAUUAUGGUAAUGAUAAGUACACCAGAUAUGUGUUGCUUUUCAUCACAUUCACACUUUAAAACUCUGUGAAGAAAAUUUGCUUUGCUUUUGUGCUCCUGCUUAGCAAUGAGUUUGAUAUACAAACAAACAAAUUGGAAAAACUUAUUUAUUACGAUGAACAGUUGGAAUGACGGUGCCUUUUUAUGAGUGAAAAAAGUGCAAAAUAUAUCUAUAUAUCACUUAGCAUUAUGUGGUAAUUUACACUGAAAAUGUAUAUUUUUUCCUGAAAUCAUUGUAGAAUCAUAGAUAGACAUACAAUUCAUGUUUAGAACCUGAGUAAUAUUUAGGCAUCUACAUAUUUUCAAUGGUGCAUAUUUCGAGCAAGACCCUAUUGGUAAUGAAAGUUGUUUUUAUCUUGCAUGAAAAUUGUUGUCCUGAUGCUUUAUUACUGUCAACAGUGCAGCUGUAUAGUCACUUUUUUGCCCUUUAUUUUAUGAAAUACUCAGACGAUGCAAGCAUCCACAUUGCUUGAAGAUGUAUUUUUAGAAGGAAUUUUUUACCCUUUGAUAUUCCCUGUCUUGUUCACUCAUUUCUGCCAUGGAGAACCACUGACAUAUUAUGUCUGCUAUUAAGUUAUUAACUUGGUGCAGGAAAAGGAUGUUUGUGCUUUUGUUUAAAAAAUAGGUCAACUGUAAUGUAAAUAUAAAGUUUGUGUAUUCUGAAAAUCUAUUGAGUAAUUGCACAAUUAUUUGAAGUACUUGCUGUAUGAGGAUUGCAUAGUGUACUUAAAUAUUUUCCAUGAAAAUAUAUGAUGAUGAAAUAUCUCCAUAAGUUAAUUUGCAUAAAAUUUCUAAGAUUUGUUUUUUGUAUUGAGACUAUAGAAGUAUGUGAAUGGAAUUGGUAGAUUUAUCACUGAUAGCUUUAUGUAUGUUAAUGCCUAGCUAUACGCCUUGGAAAUAGGCAGCUGCACGCUCUAUUCCCAGCAGACUGUCUCUUGUGCAAGAGAUGCAUGAUUAUACAAUUUCAUUUUUUGUACAAUGCUUUUUAAUUCCAGAUAAGAGCUUUAGUCACUAAGUUUAAGUGCCAGAAAGUGUGGUGCUCAAGUGCUGGUAGACUCAAGAAUGUCUAUUAAAGAUAAAGAGGUUGUACUAUCCCUACAGAGGAAUCUUGUAGAUCAUUUUUAAGUUGAAGUAAUUUCUCUUUUGUAAAUUAUAUAUUUUGUCAGUAGUGAAAUCAGUGUAGAUGCAUGUGAUGCUUUAUGAUAUUUUGCAUUAUCUAUAUAACUUCUGUAGCUGGCCAGACACCUUUGUAAUAUAGAGAUAGUUGUGAUUAUCAGCUUUCAGUGAGCUCCACAACAGGCUAGAAUUAGUUUUUAUUUUAGUACAUUCCUAAUAGAUAUAUAUUAUCCAGUGAUUAUGACCUCUAUACUUAAAAAGGUUGCAGUUGUAUAUUUGAAUUUUAGCAAAACGAAAAUACUUUUUAUUUUUAUUUGAAUAACUUUUUAUUAAGUAAAGUGCAUAAGCCAUGUCUCUUACAAGGUACCUUGUUGGUGUAUGAUUUUUGUAAGUACUCAAGGGACCAGUAAUAGAGAAUAUAGUCCCGUGGCAGCUUUCUGCAUUGGUGAUAUAUUUUACAAUAAAAAACAGCUAAAAAUGCAAUAUUCCUUGCACAAUCAAAGCUUUGCAAUAUGAAAAUAAAUUUUACAAUAAAAAUAGCACAUGUUCAGACAAGAUACACCAACAAGAGUUAAGAGCUCUAGUGUGUAGUUUUCAGAAAGAUGUUGAUAGAAGAUGCCUCCACUUAUGAAAAGAAGCCAGGUCAAAUUAAAGCUGAUUUUAUGUGUUUGUUUUUGUUUUUGCACUCUUACAAAAAAUACAUUACAUAAUGUAUCACUCCUGAUGAUAAAUGGCUAAAAUUGUCACUAAUGAAACACUCAGUAUAGAUGUUAAAGUGUUUUCUCCACAUACACAAGCAGCAUUGAAAUUUCCAUUAAACUGGUUAAAAUGAUGUAGAAUAUGCAAGAACUACUGGAGAUAAAUCUUGCCAACUUUGUGGAAAGCAAAGAUUUUAGAAGAAUGUUUAGCUUUAGGACACAACACAGGAUCAAUAAUGUAAAUAGGAUUUGAAUUUCAAAUUUGUAUAUAUAAUGUAGAUAUAUUCACCCAACUUUUUCUGUUAUUACAUACAGAGUAUAAGUUUGAUAUAUGCUCACAAGACUGAAGUCAAAGAUGAAAUGUGGAUUUUUUUCUUCUCUUGUUAAUUUAUUUAUUUUGAUGAUUACAAUGAUUAUUGUGUUGAUAUUAAUUGUUUUAUAUGAUAAAUCCUGUCAGUACUUAAGAAUGGAAUUGAGAAGUAUUCCUUUUUUUCUUUUGGUUUGUUUUAAUGAUAUUUUUCUCUUAUCAUUUGUAAACAAAUAUUGGAAAGGUGAAUAGGCUUAUACAGAGGAAAUAUAACUUUAUACAGAUAGGUGCCAUAGCAUUCCAACAGUAUUUGCAUUGUAAAUUGAAGCCAGUUUAAAGGGAUAUCUACAGGAGCUGCAUCUUCGUAUUAAUCUCUUUAAUUAGAUGUCGUUAUGAAUUCCUGAACGAUGUAUAGGCCCCAAUGACAUUCUAUUUCUCUAAUUUGAUAAAUAAAAUUUUUCUCAUAUAA
rnacentral:misc_RNA from 1 species